CCAUUCCAGGAAGUGCCAAACAUGU
rnacentral:miRNA from 1 species